rnacentral:rRNA from 1 species
GACCAAGGGUUCCUGUCCAACGUUAAUCGGGGCAGGGUGAGUCGACCCCUAAGGCGAGGCCGAAAGGCGUAGUCGAUGGGAAACGGGUUAAUAUUCCCGUACUUGGUGUUACUGCGAAGGGGGGACGGAGAAGGCUAUGUUGGCCGGGCGACGGUUGUCCCGGUUUAAGCGUGUAGGUGUGUGUUCCAGGUAAAUCCGGUUCACUUUAACACUGAGGCGUGACGACGAGGCACUACGGUGCUGAAGCAACAAAUGCCCUGCUUCCAGGAAAAGCCUCUAAGCAUCAGGUAACAUCAAAUCGUACCCCAAACCGACACAGGUGGUCAGGUAGAGAAUACCAAGGCGCUUGAGAGAACUCGGGUGAAGGAACUAGGCAAAAUGGUGCCGUAACUUCGGGAGAAGGCACGCUGACACGUAGGUGAAGUGAUUUACUCAUGGAGCUGAAG